rnacentral:rRNA from 1 species
UUGGAGGGCAAGUCUGGUGCCAGCAGCCGCGGUAAUUCCAGCUCCAAUAGCGUAUAUUAAAGUUGUUGCAGUUAAAAAGCUCGUAGUUGAAUCUCGGGGACAGUAGGUUGGUCAUGCCACUGGUAUGUACUGGUCUCACUGAUUCCUCCUUCCUGAUGAGCCGUAAUGCCAUUAAUUUGGUGUUGCGAGGAAUCUGGACUGUUACUUUGAAAAAAUUAGAGUGUUUAAAGCAGGCUAACGCUUGAAUACAUUAGCAUGGAAUAAUGAAAUAGGACGUUCGAUCUUAUUUUGUUGGUUUCUAAGAUUGACGUAAUGAUUAAUAGGGAUAGUUGGGGGCAUUAGUAUUCAAUUGUCAGAGGUGAAAUUCUUGGAUUUAUUGAAGACUAACUACUGCGAAAGCAUUUGCCAAGGAUGUUUUCAUUAAUCAAGAACGAAAGUUAGGGGAUCGAAGACGAUCAGAUACCGUCGUAGUCUUAACCAUAAACUAUGCCGACUAGGGAUCGGAUGAUGUUAAUUUUUUAAUGACUCAUUCGGCACCUUACGGGAAAC